rnacentral:rRNA from 1 species
CCUACGGGAGACAGCAGUGAGGAAUAUUGGUCAAUGGGCGCAAGCCUGAACCAGCCAAGUCGCGUGAGGGAUGACGGUCCUAUGGAUUGUAAACCUCUUUUGUCGGGGAGCAAGGCCCGCCACGUGUGGCGGGAAGGAGAGUACCCGAAGAAAAAGCAUCGGCUAACUCCGUGCCAGCAGCCGCGGUAAUACGGAGGAUGCGAGCGUUAUCCGGAUUUAUUGGGUUUAAAGGGUGCGUAGGCGGAAGGUUAAGUCAGCGGUCAAAUGUCGGUGCUCAACACCGGCCUGCCGUUGAAACUGGUCGUCUUGAGUGAGCGAGAAGUAUGCGGAAUGCGUGGUGUAGCGGUGAAAUGCAUAGAUAUCACGCAGAACUCCGAUUGCGAAGGCAGCAUACCGGCGCUCAACUGACGCUGAGGCACGAAAGCGUGGGGAUCGAACAGGAUUAGAUACCCCUGUAGUC